AUGAAUAAAAUAAAUUUUUAAAAUGUUGGUUAUAUAAAAACAUAAAUUUUAUUGGAUGUACCGCACGAUUUUGAGUUUGACAAAUUACAAUGUAGCUUUUCAAUUAAAAUGACAAAAAUAUCUUCCAGGAGAGUUCGAUUUAUGUGAUGAAAUAAAUUGCCAAUUUAAGAAUGUAUCUCUCUAUGAACCCUAUACACGUGGAACGGAUAUUCUUCAAUCAAAUUUAACAUAUUUCAUCGUCACCUUUGAACUACUUUUCAGGAGAUGAAAAUGGACAGAUGAUGAACCUUACAGUGCUUUUAACUGGAAAGGCAGCCGAAAAAUACUGCGAUAUUCUAGCGAAGAUGCCAAGACUAAUGCAAAAAAUUUCCUCCAUUAAUUCUAGAUCCAAAGUCCAAUAAUAAUAAUAAUAACGCCCAAUAAAUCUAAUAAAUGGAAUAUAUUAUUUUACAAUCGUAGCUGUAUAUCGUAAACAUAGCGAACUACAUGAUGAGAGAAUAAAUGAUACAUUAAAUAUAAUAUUUCUGUACAAUCAGUUUAUCGAUAAAAAGAAGUUA